UAUGAACCGUUAUAACCGGCGAUUUCCGAAUGGGGAAACCCAGUGUGACUCGUCACACUAUCAUUAACUGAAUCCAUAGGUUAAUGAGGCGAACCGGGGGAACUGAAACAUCUAAGUACCCCGAGGAAAAGAAAUCAACCGAGAUUCCCCCAGUAGCGGCGAGCGAACGGGGAGGAGCCCAGAGCCUGAAUCAGCAUGUGUGUUAGUGGAAGCGUCUGGAAAGGCGCGCGAUACAGGGUGACAGCCCCGUACACAAAAGCGCAUGUGCUGUGAGCUCGAUGAGUAGGGCGGGACACGUGGUAUCCUGUCUGAAUAUGGGGGGACCAUCCUCCAAGGCUAAAUACUCCUGACUGACCGAUAGUGAACCAGUACCGUGAGGGAAAGGCGAAAAGAACCCCGGCGAGGGGAGUGAAAAAGAACCUGAAACCGU
rnacentral:rRNA from 1 species